UACAGAGGUCCCAAGCGUUGUUCGGAUUCAUUGGGCGUAAAGGGUGCGUAGGUGGCGCCGUAAGUCAGGUGUGAAAUCUCGGGGCUUAACUCCGAAACUGCAUUCGAUACUGCGGUGCUUGAGGACUGGAGAGGAGACUGGAAUUUACGGUGUAGCAGUGAAAUGCGUAGAGAUCGUAAGGAAGACCAGUGGCGAAGGCGGGUCUCUGGACAGUUCCUGACACUGAGGCACGAAGGCCAGGGGAGCAAACGGG
rnacentral:rRNA from 1 species